AAUGAACGCUGGCGGCAGGCCUAACACAUGCAAGUCGAGCGAGCAUUUCGGUGCUAGCGGCGUACGGGUGAGUAACGCGUGGGAACGUGCCCUUUUCUGCGGAAUAGUCCUGGGAAACUGGGGGUAAUACCGCAUACGGCCGUUUGGGGAAAGAUUUAUCGAAGAAGGAUCGGCCCGCGUUGGAUUAGGUAGUUGGUGGGGUAAUGGCCCACCAAGCCGACGAUCCAUAGCUGGUUUGAGAGGAUGAUCAGCCACACUGGGACUGAGACACGGCCCAGACUCCUACGGGAGGCAGCAGUGGGGAAUCUUAGACAAUGGGGGCAACCCUGAUCUAGCCAUGCCGCGUGAGUGAUGAAGGCCUUAGGGUUGUAAAGCUCUUUCAGCUGGGAAGAUAAUGACGGUACCAGCAGAAGAAGCCCCGGCUAACUCCGUG
rnacentral:rRNA from 1 species